rnacentral:rRNA from 1 species
GAGGAAUAUUGGACAAUGGAUGGAAAUCUGAUCCAGCCAUGCCGCGUGCAGGAAGACGGCCCUAUGGGUUGUAAACUGCUUUUGUAUGGGAGCAAUAAGGACUACGUGUAGUUUGAUGAGAGUACCAUACGAAUAAGCAUCGGCUAACUCCGUGCCAGCAGCCGCGGUAAUACGGAGGAUGCGAGCGUUAUCCGGAUUUAUUGGGUUUAAAGGGUGCGUAGGCGGCGAUAUAAGUCAGUGGUGAAAUAUUUCGGCUUAACCGAGAGACUGCCAUUGAUACUGUGUUGCUAGAAUAUGGUUGCUGUGAGUGGAAUGUGUUGUGUAGCGGUGAAAUGCUUAGAUAUCACACAGAAUAUCGAUUGCGAAGGCAGCUCACAAAGCCAUUAUUGACGCUGAGGCAC